AUCGAAGAGAUAACACGACAUUGUUGUAUUGUUAGUUUCAUGGACGUUUGUGGCAAGCUAAUUCUGUCCCACCAUGGAAGCUCACUUCCGUGUGGAAAUUGUUUGAUAUUUAGUGUUGUCUAAACUAAGCGGUUUGAUUGGAUGGUAUUUGAUGAUGAAUGCUACUCCAAAGAAAGGCAUCUCAUUUGUUUGGAGGAGUAUUCUCAAAGGCAUGAAUUUGCUGAAAAUAGGAUUCAUCUUCCGAGUUGGCAAUGGUGAAAACAUAAGUGUCUGGUCAGAUCCAUCGAUUCCUAGAGGGAGCACACUCAAAAUCAAGGUAUGUGAAUCCUUUGGCCAGAAGAUGGGAUGUGGAGCUUUUCUGACACACUUUGGCCUGAAGAUGCUGAUACUAUUCUCAAGAUUCAUGUCCAAGAAGACACAGAGGAAAAGAAGUCUUUCUUUUACUGUAAAAAGCUAUGACGCACUCUCUCUUUCCCAAUAAGGUGUUCAGCCUACCCCUUAGAAUGAAGCUCUUUAGGAAAGAAAGGAAAAAGUGCUCCCAGUGGAAAAUGCACAAAAGUGGAAACCACCACAUUCAGCUAUUUUGAAGAUAAACAUCGAUGGCGCUUUCAGUAAGUCAUCAUUAUCUGGAGUUGGGGCUUCACCAUCAAGAAUGACCAGGGUGUGCAUUACUGGCAGUAGGUGCAUGCAAAAUCUGGAACAUGUCGCUAACCCACCAUAUGCAGAAGCUCUAUCUUUACAACAAUUGCCUAUCAUUGUCACUCCAAUGGGGCGCCAAACUGUAAUGUUUGAGACAGACUCCAUGAUUCUGAAGCAAGCUAUU